GACAGGACACGGUAAAAAAAUAAAAAAUAAAAAAAAGAAGAAAACCUGUUGGAGAUUGGGACGGAGAUUUAGCUUCCAGCAAGACAAUGACCCUAAACAUACAGCAGGAGCUGCAGUGCAAUAGUUUAUAGAUUAAAAAAUGUUCAUGUGUUAGAAUGACUUAGUCAAAGUCCAGAGAAAAAUUCAGGUUAGCAACUUCGGCAAGACAUGAAAGUUGCUGUUCACAGAUUAUCCAGAUGUGCAAAGAUGGAAUUGCAGUGGAAAAUGGCUCUAAAAGGUAUUGAUGCAAGGGGGCUGAAUGCAAAUGCACGCCACACUUUUUUUUAUUUUAUUUGUUUAAAACUUAAAAACUAUGUCUCAGUUUCCUUCCACUUCACAUUUAUGUGCUACUUCGUGUUGGUUUAUCACAGAAAAUCUAAAUAAAACAUUAACAUUGUAGUUGAAAGGUGUACAAAUAUAUAAAAGUUCAAGGGGUAUUACUUUUGCAUCAAUUUUUAACAACCACCUGCAUUCUCCUGUUUCACUGAUCUGGAUUGUAAUACAAUUCUCAAGACCAAAUGAAUGAAAAGAAGUCAGAAGACUCCUGAGUGAUGCCUUGUCUAUUUUUAUCUCAGGAAAAGUUGCACACACAUGCUCCACUGAGUUUAGUAAAUUUGUGCAUGAAGCAGCAGUGCUGUGUCUGUGAAGGAACAUUGAAACUUACAUGCAGAAUGUCCACCAUUGUUUUUAUGCCUAUGAGCAUCAAAUUAAUGACUAUUUAAUUUUCUCAUUUUAACUGAGAAUGUUUAGUUUUCAUCUAGUCUUUAAAAUUGAAUUGAAAAAUAACAGAUGCUGCAUCUAGAACGUUGUAACGCAUGCGUGUUCAGAUGUGUCACGUAAGUUUGAGAUAAAGUUAUCUGCUUUAGGAGUUAGGAGAACGAUGGCUGAAAUAACAGCUGUGAUGAUGUGCUGCUUUUUCAGACUUGGACAAGUAGCAACAAACACCUCGUCUUAUGAAACGCUUUUCCUUCCAACCAUUUAAUCACCUGACUGUAAACAUUCUGGAAGCAAUUUCUUCAUUUUAAGUUUCCUCUAAGUCUGUCUAUAAUUCGUAGACAGUGUGAAACUGUAUGAUUUAAUAUUUCUAAAUAAUUAUUGCACAACUUUUCUGCUCCAGCGACUUUAUAAAAGAGAACUUGAGCUGUCGGACAGGAACUCAACAGCUUCUCUGCUCGUCUUUGAGAGAACCCGCUGAAGGUCAGAUCACCAUUAUCAUGCUGAAGGUUGCACUUAUUCUCGGAUGCCUCCUGAGCCUUAUCAUGGCUCAACCUGUGGAGCGAGAGCGACUUGUUCGAUCCAGUUCCAACUCCAAUGAGGGAUAUAGAUAUGGAAAUGGCAUGAUGAACCCUUUGACGAAUAUUGAAGCAAUCCUUGAGAACCAGCUUUUUGCCGCCAUUUUGCAAAAGUUUAUAACAGGUUAAUGAUUACAGCUGAAAUGUGACAAAAGAAACAAAAAGUGAGUGCAAACUAACAUUUUAUUUGUGAAAUAGUAACUAAUGUAUUCAAUGUGCUUUCACAUUAUGAGCAUUCAUUGUUCCCCUCAUUUCAGAUUCUCGUGACUUUUUCAACGGGACGUCCUUCCACAUGGACCGUGGAUCAAAGCUUGAUAUUGUUUCUAAAAUCUAAUAAAGUUCAUAAACAAAAAUAAAUGCUUUUUGGUGACAUUUUGAUACAAAUAGAUUUUAGCAUGCAGGUAUUGUGAUGAAACUCAUUCAAGCAAAGGUGUCAAGUAAUAAAGUACCAGUGGCUAAAUAAAUAAAUAAAUAAAUAAAUAAAUAAAUAAAUAAAGUACCACUACCUUACUUCAAAAAAAGAAGAAAUGUUCUGGUUUCGAUUCUGUACUCUGAAACACAAUAAAACCAAAAAACUGAUGAACCUUCAUCUGUGUCUCCUGAGGGAACCAAUUUAGUGGAGCCAGGAGAUUGGGUUCUGAUAAAUAGCAUCAAAAGGAAACACUGGCAUUCUCCUAAGGGCCUUUUCAGGUUUUGCUGAUCACUCCCACUGCAUGUAAAAUAGCAGAACGACCAACUUGGAUUCAUUUAAGUCACUGUAAACGUGUGGUGGCAAAACAAGCAGACACCUAAGGAUGCUGCUGAUACUACUUACCCUGUCUGUGGGAAUAACUGACUCAUUUCACACCCCAGUGUCUUACUAUUAUGCAAAUACAGAAAAACAGACCCCGCUGUUAUCUAAUUUCUCAAAGCCUUGCAUGGAACAGAGGCAAGGAAAUUCUCCUGAUCCAUAUUUCUGUUACAAUGGGACCAGUACAGAUGCCACGGUUUUGUUUAACCUGGCUGACAUAACUGUAGGAGGCUAUAGAGGGAACAUCUGCUGGUGGUGUGGAGACAACAACCUGACAAAUUACCUAUGAAUGUCACUGGAACCUGUGCUUUGGUAUCAUUGCUGUUACCUGAUCUGGAUCCACUGAUUUCCCACUUAUCUAUUCACUCUCUCUCUUCCUUUACAUUUUUUAAUCACAAUUGUCUAUUUUUUGCUCAUUUUUAAUAUAUUUUUAAUAAUUUUCAAAAUUCUUUUUUAUAUUUUUACAUUUUGUUUUUGUGAAGCGCCUCGUGAAUUUAAUCUUGAGAGGCGCUAUAGAAAUGAUAUUUUCUUCUUCUUCUUCUUCUUCUUCUUCUUCUUCUUCUUCUUCAC